CCUAGGAAUCUGCCUGGUAGUGGGGGACAACGUUUCGAAAGGAACGCUAAUACCGCAUACGUCCUACGGGAGAAAGCAGGGGACCUUCGGGCCUUGCGCUAUCAGAUGAGCCUAGGUCGGAUUAGCUAGUUGGUGAGGUAAUGGCUCACCAAGGCGACGAUCCGUAACUGGUCUGAGAGGAUGAUCAGUCACACUGGAACUGAGACACGGUCCAG
rnacentral:rRNA from 1 species